UACGUAGGGUGCGAGCGUUAAUCGGAAUUACUGGGCGUAAAGCGUGCGCAGGCGGUUCGUUGUGUCGGCGGUGAAAGCCCCGGGCUCAACCUGGGAAUGGCCGUUGAAACUGGCGAACUGGAGUGUGGCAGAGGGGGGUGGAAUUCCGCGUGUAGCAGUGAAAUGCGUAGAUAUCGGGAGGAAUACCAGUGGCGAAGGCGGCCUUCUGGACGGAUACUGACGCUGAGGCGCGAAAGCCAGGGGAGCAAACGGG
rnacentral:rRNA from 1 species